GAUGAAGAACGCAGUGAAAUGCGAUAAGUAAUGUGAAUUGCAGAAUUCAGUGAAUCAUCGAAUCUUUGAACGCACAUUGCGCCCGCCAGUAUUCUGGCGGGCAUGCCUGUUCGAGCGUCAUUUCAACCAUCAAGCCCCCGGCUUGUGUUGGGGACCUGCGGCUGCCGCAGGCCCUGAAAACCAGUGGCGGGCUCGCUAGUCACUCCGAGCGUAGUAAUACAUCUCGCUCAGGGCGUGCUGCGGGUUCCGGCCGUUAAAAGCCUUAUUUUACCCAAGGUUGACCUCGGAUCAGGUAGGAAGACCCGCUGAACUUAAGCAUAUCAAUAAGCGGAGGA
rnacentral:misc_RNA from 1 species